rnacentral:snRNA from 1 species
AUUGCUUCUCGGCUCUCUGAGCUAAGAUCAUGUGUAGUGUCUGUUCUUUGCAGUGUAAUUUCUGCAACAGCCUCUAAACUUAGACCAAUGAAAUUACCUGUAUUUUUCCUCGAGGAUUAGCUCAUUUGUGCAUCAGUGGCACAGCGGUUAGGACUCUCGCCAAUCAUGCACAUGGUCC